rnacentral:pre_miRNA from 1 species
AAAAAAUUCGGGCUGUCGGUCUACUGAGCAAUAUGCCCCGCUCGGUGGAAGAUCUUCUCUCCAUCGU